rnacentral:rRNA from 1 species
UACGUAGGGUGCAAGCGUUGUCCGGAAUUAUUGGGCGUAAAGAGCUCGUAGGCGGUUUGUCGCGUCGAAUGUGAAAACCCGGGGCUCAACCCCGGGCCUGCAUUCGAUACGGGCAGACUAGAGUUCGGUAGGGGAGUCUGGAAUUCCCGGUGUAGCGGUGAAAUGCGCAGAUAUCGGGAAGAACACCCGUGGCGAAGGCGGCUCUCUGGGACGGUACUGACGCUGAGACGCGAAAGCGUGGGGAGCGAACAGG